GUGAUUGCUUCAGCUGCACAUAUAUUUAAAUGGGAAAAAUACAGAGAUUAGCAUGGCCCCUUCACAAGGAUGACAUGCAAAUUUGUGAAGUGUCCCAUAUUUUG